UCCCAGUUCGGAUUGCAGGCUGCAACCCGCCUGUAUGAAGUUGGAAUCGCUAGUAAUCGCGGAUCAGCAUGCCGCGGUGAAUACGUUCCCGGGCCUUGUACACACCGCCCGUCACACCAUGAGAGUCGGGAACACCCGAAGUCCGUAGUCUAACUUUCACGAGAGGACGCGGCCGAAGGUGGGUUCGAUAAUUGGGGUGAAGUCGUAACAAGGUAAC
rnacentral:rRNA from 1 species